rnacentral:ncRNA from 1 species
ACAGGAUAAAAACGCAAUGUGCGCCCUUUGGCGUACUAGAGCUGGUAGGUAGCCCAGCCGUCUGAGCCCCAGGCUCAGGUAAGUAACCUUCCCCUCCGGGUUGUCCGUUCCUGUGAUA